rnacentral:rRNA from 1 species
GACGAACGCUGGCGGCGUGCUUAACACAUGCAAGUCGAACGGGCCUUGUCCCCUUUUUUUUUGGGGGUGGGGUUAGUGGCGAACGGGUGAGUAACACGUGAGUAACCUGCCCCUCACUUCUGGAUAACCGCUUGAAAGGGUGGCUAAUACGGGGUGUUCUGGCCUGCUCGCAUGGGUGGGUUUGGAAAGAUUCGACCGGUUUUGGUUGUUUUGGUGGGGGAUGGGCUCGCGGCCUAUCAGCUUGUUGGUGGGGUGAUGGCCUGCCAAGGCUUUGACGGGUAGCCGGCCUGAGAGGGUGGGCGGUCACACUGGGGCUGAGACACGGCCCAGACUCCUACGGGAGGCAGCAGUGGGGAAUAUUGCACAAUGGGCGCAAGCCUGAUGCAGCGACGCAGCGUGAGGGAUGGAGGCCGUCGGGUUGUGAACCUCCUUCGCCAGUGAAGAAGGUCCUGCUCUUUGUGGUGGGGUUGACGGUAGCUGGGUUAAUGAAGCGCCGGCUAACUACGUG